GCCUUCGAUAGCUCAGUUGGUAGAGCGGAGGACUGUAGAUCCUUAGGUCGCUGGUUCGAAUCCGGCUGAAGGAA